AGAAAAGUUAUUAAGGGCAUGCGGAGGAUGACUUGGCACUAAUAGCAGAUGAAGGACGCGAAAACCUGCGAAAAGCUUCGGGGAGGCGGAUCAGCCUAUGAACCGGAGGUAUCCGAAUGGGGCAACCCGGACAGAGUAAGAACUGUUCAUCCCGUAAUGAAUUCAUAGUUACGGAGAAGAAAACCUGGCGAAUUGAAACAUCUUAGUAGCUGGAGGAAAAGAAAGAGAGAUCGAUUCCCUGAGUAGCGGCGAGCGAAACGGGAGGAGCCCAAACCAACUUCGAGUUGGGGUUGUAGGACUGCAACAUGGUAUGUUAAGCGUUAGUAGAAUUACCUGGAAAGGUAAGGCGUAGAAGGUGAUACCCCUGUAUACGAAAACAAAUAACAACCUAGCAGAAUCCUGAGUACGGCGAGGCACGUGAAACCUUGUUGGAAUCAGCGCAGACCACUGCGCAAGGCUAAAUACUCAUUAGUGACCGAUAGUGAACCAGUACUGUGAAGGAAAGUUGAAAAGAACCCCGGGAGGGGAGUGAAAUAGAACCUGAAACCGCAUGCUUACAAAAAGUCAGAGGGCGUUAAUGCCUGAUGGCGUGCCUAUUGAAGAAUGAACCGGCGAGUUAUUUUAUCGUGCGAGGUUAAGUGGAAGACACGGAGCCGUAGCGAAAGCGAGUCUUAACAGGGCGACUUAGUACGAUAGAAUAGACCCGAAACCAGGUGAUCUAGCCAUGAUCAAGUUGAAGUGAGGGUAAAACCUCAUGGAGGACUGAACCGACGUUCGUUGAAAAGACCGCGGAUGAAUUGUGGCUAGUGGUGAAAUUCCAAUCGAACUUGGUUAUAGCUGGUUCUCCCCGAAAUAGCUUUAGGGCUAGCCUCGAGAGGAAAGCUCGGUGGAGGUAGAGCACUGAAUAUGUGAUGGCCCAGUUUAUGGGUACUGAACAUAAUCAAACUCCGAAUGCCAUCGAUAGUAUACUCGGGAGUCAGAGCGUGAGCGAUAAGGUCCAUGCUCAAAAGGGAAACAGCCCAGACCUACAGCUAAGGUCCCAAAAUUUGUGUUAAGUGUAAAAGGAUGUGGAGACGCAAAAACAGCUAGGAUGUUGGCUCAGAAGCAGCCACCAUUUAAAGAGUGCGUAACAGCUCACUAGUCGAGUAUCUCUGCGCCGAAGAUUUACCGGGGCUUAAACACAAUGCCGAAGCUUAGGACUCUAAGGAGUGGUAGGGGAGCGUUGUAUAUGCGUUGAAGUCGUACCGUGAGGAGCGUUGGAGCGUAUACAAGAGAGAAUGCCGGUGUGAGUAACGAAUGAGGGUGAGAAUCCCUCACACCGAUUGACUAAGGUUUUCUGGGGAAGGUUCGUCCACCCAGAGUAAGUCGGGAACUAAGGCGAGGCCGAGAGGCGUAGUCGAUGAACAACAGGUUGAUAUUCCUGUACCCGCAUAAAGGUGAUGGAGUGACAGAAAGGGCUAAUAUAUCUGGCUGUUGGAUUAGCCAGUCCAAGCGAGGUAGCUGAAGUAGAGGCAAAUCCCUACUUCUUAAGGCGAAAGCGUGAUGGGGAGUGAAAGUGCUUGCACAAGUAGCGAAGUAUAUGAUGCCAAUUCUCGAGAAAAGCUUCUAACUUAACUUUAUGUGGCCCGUACCGAGAACGAACACACGUGGUCAAGGAGAGAAUCCUAAGGUGAGCGAGAGAAUUGUUGUUAAGGAACUCUGCAAAAUAACCCCGUAAGUUAGCGAGAAGGGGUGCUCUAGCGAUAGAGCCGCAGUGAAGAGGCCCAGGCAACUGUUUAACAAAAACACAGCUUUAUGCUAAGCCGCAAGGCGAUGUAUAUGAGGUGACGCCUGCCCAGUGCUGGAAGGUUAAGAGGAUUUGUUAGCCGCAAGGCGAAGCUCAGAAUCGAAGCCCCAGUGAACGGCGGCCGUAACUAUAACGGUCCUAAGGUAGCGAAAUUCCUUGUCAGGUAAGUUCUGACGCGCACGAAUGGCGUAAUGAUCUGGGCGCUGUCUCAACAGCAAACUCGGUGAAAUCUUAAGACCUGUGAAGAUGCAGGUUACCCGCGACUAGACGGAAAGACCCCAUGGAGCUUUACUAUAACUUAAUAUUGGACAACGAUACGUCAUGUACAGGAUAGGUGGGAGACUAUGAAGCUUGCACGUCAGUGUGAGUGGAGUCGCCGUUGGGAUACCACUCUUGGUGUAUUGUUGCUCUAACCUACGAUCAUUACCGGUCGGGGGACAGUGUUAGGCGGGUAGUUUGACUGGGGCGGUCGCCUCCUAAAUAGUAACGGAGGCGCCCAAAGGUACCCUCAGCACGGUUGGAAAUCGUGCAUAGAGCGUAAAGGCAUAAGGGUGCUUGACUGCGAGACCUACAAGUCGAGCAGGGACGAAAGUCGGGCUUAGUGAUCAGGCGGUACCACGUGGAAGGGCCGUCGCUCAACGGAUAAAAGCUACCCUGGGGAUAACAGGCUGAUUCCUCCCAAGAGUUCACAUCGACGGGGGAGUUUGGCACCUCGAUGUCGGCUCAUCACAUCCUGGAGCUGGAGUCGGUUCCAAGGGUUGGGCUGUUCGCCCAUUAAAGUGUUACGCGAGCUGGGUUCAAAACGUCGUGAGACAGUUUGGUCCCUAUCUGUCGUGGGCGUAGGAAAAUUGAUAGGAUCUGUCCUUAGUACGAGAGGACCGGGAUGGACAUACCACUGGUGUACCAGUUGUUCUGCCAAGAGCAUUGCUGGGUAGCUACGUAUGGAACGGAUAAACGCUGAAAGCAUCUAAGCGUGAAACCGACCUAAAGAUGAGUUUUCCCAUUCGCAAGAAGUAAGAUCCCUUGAA
rnacentral:rRNA from 1 species